AGCCAAAUCAUGUUGAAAUACCAGUUUCCAUAUGAUCAUCAAAGUUAAGCAACAUUGAACCUAUUCAGUAGCUAGAUGGGUGACCACUUGGGAAUAUCAUGUGCU